GAGAAGGUGAAAAAAAUAGACAAACACGGUAAACCCAUCCUCAAGAUCAAAUAUAGAAGGUAUCUCUAUCUCUAUCUUGAAUUUCUGCACUUUAAAAAAAAUUGUCAGCCCUUUAUACACUAUCUGUAUUAUGCUCCUAAUCUUAUUCCAAACUACUAGAGUUUAAAGGCCAUAAUGCAUAUACACAUUUCAAUUACCAUCUGCUGCAUUUAUUUAAAUUUAAAUUUCAUCAAAAUUCAAACUUAUGGUUAACUAAUCAUUUUCUCAUUAAAACUCAGAAAAGUUCAAUGUUGAAUCCAACGUCAUUAUUGUGUCUAGCAUUUGGGUGUUAAUAAUUAGUCACAUAUCAGAUUUUUACCAUUAAAAUGAUCUCAAACAAGGUAAAAACCAAUAACACUGUAUAUACAUGAAACAGCAAAACUACCGAACUCCACAAGAUCAAAUACAGAUUGUAUAUUAGGGGGGAAAAAACCGAUACCCAUUUGUCAUAGUUUGGCAAAAAAGGGGAUAAAUUUAAAAACACUUAUAGACAUGGAAAAACACUCCAAAAAAACACUACUAAAAAAUCAAAACUAAUAUAUCACGAGAUUGAAAAAAAACAGAUCGUGAGAAAUGGAAAAACAAAUAUACCAUGAUGGAAAAAAUCAGAUCAUAGUAAAUGGAAAAACUACUAUAGAUCGUAGUAACUGAAAAGGGAAAAAAACUUUACAAAACAGAACAUACUGGAAGAAAUUGCAAGAGGACGAAAAAAUGAGGAAAUCGAAAAUGAGGAAAAGAAGAAAUCAGGAGAUGCGGCCGACCAAAAAUAAGCGGAAAACAGUACUACCUGGCCGGAGACUUCCCGUCACGAGCGCCGGAUGUGUGAGACAUAGCGUGCUGGAAGGAAGCUUGGAAAAUGCGGCUGAGAAAGAGGGGCAACGAAAAAUAGAAGAGGGAAAAUGAGAUGUUGAGGGGAUCGAUUAGACUUUCCUUCAAGUUUUCAAUAGAUGUUGAGGAGAUGUUGCUGGAAAAGUGAAUUCACCCUUACGUCCACCAGUCUAUUGCAUGUUUAGCGUACUAUUGCCUGCAUGAGUGUCCUUCAGUUUGGAAAAUACUUACACCAACAAUGGACGGUCAGAAUUAAAAGGCUUGGAUUGGACGGUCAUGAUGGAGUUCUCAGAUAGUGCUCAUAUAGAGGUUCUUAGUAGAAGCGUUCUGUAUAUAUAUAUCUUAGAUAGUCAGUGCUAUAAAGCAUGAAAGACGUUGAAAAUAUUCGAGAAAAGAUUUUGCAUGACAUUUAAUUUAUGUGUUGUUCUACUAGAAAUUAGAAACAGUUAGUCGAAAACUUUGUUAGGAAAAAAUGAUUUCUCGCUAGCUUUUUGAAAUGUUGUUACUUAUUAUGUACUUUUUUAAUUGUAUUGUUACCUAAAUAGUUAGUUUUAUUUCACUUGACAUACACUACUCAUCUUAUUCUUAAUAUAAUUUUCUUAGUAGCAUUAAAUGUGUAUUAAUUUGUUAGCAGAAGUGCACUGGUUAAAAGCAGAGGUAGUGUAGGUCGUGACUUCUGUCUAAGUAGCAUAAUAGCAUAACUAUGUACACUGGUUAGUAACAGAGAUAGUGUAUGUGUUUCGUAUCUAGGUAGACAUAAUACCAGAAGUACAUUGGUCAGUAGCAGAGGUACGUUAGUACAUAUGUUUAGUGUUUAAAUAGACAUAAUAGCAAAACUACAUUGUUUAGUAACAGAGGUAGUGUAUGUGGCUUGUGUCUAAGUAACAUAAUAGCAGAACUACAAUGUUUAGUAGUAGAGGUAGGGUAUGCAUCUUGUGUCUAAGUAGACAUAAUAGCAUAACUACAUUGGUUAGUAACAGAGACAGUGUAUGUGUUUUUGUCUAAGUAGGCAUAAUAAAAGAACUACACAGGCUAUAGCAGAGAAAAUGUAUGUGUUUGUUGUAUAAAUGACCAUAAUAACAAAACUACACUAGUUAGUAGCAAAGGUAGUACUGUAUUUAUUUUAUGUCUAAGUAGGGAAAAUAACAGAACUGCAGUGAUUAGUAGCAGAUGUACGUAAUACGUGUUUCGUGUAUAAGAGUAUAAGUAACGAUAAUAGAAGAACUGCACUGUUUAGUAGCAGAGAUAGUCUAUGUAUUUUUGUCUAAAUAAGCAUAAUACCAUAACAACACUGUUUAGUAGCAGAGAAAAUGUUGUUGUAUAAGAAGUCAUAAUAGCAAAACUACACUGAUAAGUAGAAGAUGUAAUGUAUGUGUUUCAUGUAUAAGUAGGUAUAUAAUACCAUGCAGAACUAAAAUGUUUAGUAGCAGAGAUAGUUUAUGUGUUACGCGUAUAAGUAGAGAUAAUAGCAGAGGUAGUAUUUAGUGUACAAGUAGUCAUAAUAGCAUAACUUCAUUGGGUAGUAGCAGAGGUAGUAUAUGUUGUUUUUCUAAGUAUGCAUAAUAGCAUAACUAUAUUGUAUAUAUAGUAGUAGAUGAAAUGUAUGUUUGUUGUAUAGAUAGGCAUAAUAGCAGAACUUCAUUGGUUAGUAGCAGAUCUAGUUUAUGUGUUUCGUGUAUAAGUAGCAAUAAUAUCAGAACUACAAUGUUUAGUAGCAAAGGUAGUGUUACUUGAAGGUAGUAGUCUGGCCUCCUGUUGAAAUGGAGAGCUAUAGUAGUUGAAGGUAGCUGAUUUAUUGUAAAUGUUGCAGUGCAGAAUGCUUCAACCCAUAAUCUUUGAAGAAUUGAGCGAUGCUUGAUGAAAUAAACAUCUCAGUUCUAACUAUGUGGCGAUGCUUUAUUUCUACUAUAUGCGAUGUGAUAUAUUUCUAUCAAAGAGCAGCGUGCGGAUGUACUCGCGAAACCAUUGUCGCAUGACAUAUUUGUAUACCUUCUUAUUUUUCGAGUCCAUCUUCUAACGACGACCAUUUUUCGCUUGAGUAAAUUUUCUUGAUCUCAUGUUGUAAUCUCACGAGUGACUCAUCCCUAUUGAGUUUAUGAUAAAAAUAUAGAUGUUAUGAAUAUGAUGUAGAAGUGAUCUCUGUUA
rnacentral:lncRNA from 1 species